AGAGUUUGAUCCUGGCUCAGAACGAACGCUGGCGGCAUGCCUAACACAUGCAAGUCGAACGAUGCUUUCGGGCAUAGUGGCGCACGGGUGCGUAACGCGUGGGAAUCUGCCCCUUGGUUCGGAAUAACAGUUAGAAAUGACUGCUAAUACCGGAUGACGACGUAAGUCCAAAGAUUUAUCGCCGAGGGAUGAGCCCGCGUAGGAUUAGCUAGUUGGUGAGGUAAUGGCUCACCAAGGCGACGAUCCUUAGCUGGUCUGAGAGGAUGAUCAGCCACACUGGGACUGAGACACGGCCCAGACUCCUACGGGAGGCAGCAGUGGGGAAUAUUGGACAAUGGGCGCAAGCCUGAUCCAGCAAUGCCGCGUGAGUGAUGAAGGCCUUAGGGUUGUAAAGCUCUUUUACCAGGGAUGAUAAUGACAGUACCUGGAGAAUAAGCUCCGGCUAACUCCGUGCCAGCAGCCGCGGUAAU
rnacentral:rRNA from 1 species